UACGGGGGGGGCAAGCGUUGUUCGGAAUUACUGGGCGUAAAGGGCUCGUAGGCGGCCAACUAAGUCAGACGUGAAAUCCCCAGGCUUAACCUGGGAACUGCGUCUGAUACUGGAUGGCUUGAAUUCGGGAGAGGGAUGCAGAAUUCCAGGUGUAGCGGUGAAAUGCGUAGAUAUCUGGAGGAAUACCGGUGGCGAAGGCGGGUCUCUGGGCCGAUACUGACGCUGAGGAGCGAAAGCGUGGGGAGCGAACAGG
rnacentral:rRNA from 1 species